UAGCUUCAGCGAUGGAUCGGUCGAUUCGCGUAUCGAUGAAAAACGCAGCUAGCUGCGUUAUUUACCACGAAUUGCAGACGCUUAGAGUGGUGAAAUUUUGAACGCAUAGCGCCGUUGGGUUUUCCCUUCGGCACGUCUGGUUCAGGGUUGUUAAUGAAUUUCUACAGUGUGGCUAAAUCUAACACUGUUUGUCGAAUGGUUAUUAUCAAAUAUUGUGAUAAUUCCCAUUUCAGUACAAGAAUAAUACAUGCAACAUGAUGUUAAUGUUGUAACGACAUUAAUGUUCCUGUAUGAUGUGAACGUGUUGUCACUGUUUAAAUGUACUCAGUGAAUUUGAGAUUGAUUUAAACAGGGACAUGUAUGACAAUAAUGUUCAAUUAUCAUUUGUAUUGCAACCUGAUCUCAGGCGUGAUUACCCGCUGAACUUAAGCAUAUCAUUUAGCGGAGGAAAAG
rnacentral:rRNA from 1 species